rnacentral:rRNA from 2 species
UGGCUCAGAUUGAACGCUAGCGGGAUGCCUUACACAUGCAAGUCGAACGGCAGCACGGACUUCGGUCUGGUGGCGAGUGGCGAACGGGUGAGUAAUGUAUCGGAACGUGCCUAGUAGCGGGGGAUAACUACGCGAAAGCGUAGCUAAUACCGCAUACGCCCUACGGGGGAAAGCAGGGGAUCGCAAGACCUUGCACUAUUAGAGCGGCCGAUAUCGGAUUAGCUAGUUGGUGGGGUAACGGCUCACCAAGGCGACGAUCCGUAGCUGGUUUGAGAGGACGACCAGCCACACUGGGACUGAGACACGGCCCAGACUCCUACGGGAGGCAGCAGUGGGGAAUUUUGGACAAUGGGGGAAACCCUGAUCCAGCCAUCCCGCGUGUGCGAUGAAGGCCUUCGGGUUGUAAAGCACUUUUGGCAGGAAAGAAACGUCAUGGGCUAAUACCCCGUGAAACUGACGGUACCUGCAGAAUAAGCACCGGCUAACUACGUGCCAGCAGCCGCGGUAAUACGUAGGGUGCAAGCGUUAAUCGGAAUUACUGGGCGUAAAGCGUGCGCAGGCGGUUCGGAAAGAAAGAUGUGAAAUCCCAGAGCUUAACUUUGGAACUGCAUUUUUAACUACCGAGCUAGAGUGUGUCAGAGGGAGGUGGAAUUCCGCGUGUAGCAGUGAAAUGCGUAGAUAUGCGGAGGAACACCGAUGGCGAAGGCAGCCUCCUGGGAUAACACUGACGCUC